rnacentral:rRNA from 1 species
UACGGAGGGGGCUAGCGUUGUUCGGAAUCACUGGGCGUAAAGCGCACGUAGGCGGAUCUUUAAGUCAGGGGUGAAAUCCCGAGGCUCAACCUCGGAACUGCCUUUGAUACUGGGGAUCUCGAGUCCGGGAGAGGUGAGUGGAACUGCGAGUGUAGAGGUGAAAUUCGUAGAUAUUCGCAAGAACACCAGUGGCGAAGGCGGCUCACUGGCCCGAUACUGACGCUGAGGCACGAAAGCGUGGGGAGCAAACAGG